AUUGAACGCUGGCGGAAUGCUUUACACAUGCAAGUCGAACGGCAGCACGGACUUCGGUCUGGUGGCGAGUGGCGAACGGGUGAGUAAUGUAUCGGAACGUGCCCAGUCGUGGGGGAUAACGUAGUGAAAAUUACGCUAAUACCGAAUAAGAACUAUGGAUGAAAGCGGGGGAUCGAAAGAACUCGUCAGAUUGGAGCGGCCGAUAUCGGAAUAGGUAGUUGGUGGGGUAAAGGCCCACCAAGCCAACGAUCUGUAGCUGGUCUGAGAGGACGACCAGCCACACUGGAACUGAGACACGGUCCAGACUCCUACGGGAGGCAGCAGUGGGGAAUUUUGGACAAUGGGCGAAAGCCUGAUCCAGCCAUUCCGCGUGAAGGAUGAAGGCCCUCGGGUUGUAAACUGCUUUUGCACAGAACGAAAAGGUUUCUACUAAUACUAGAAGCUCAUGACGGUACUGUAAGAAUAAGCACCGGCUAACUACGUGCCAGCCGCCGCGGUAA
rnacentral:rRNA from 1 species